rnacentral:rRNA from 1 species
UACGUAGGGUCCAAGCGUUAUCCGGAUUUAUUGGGCGUAAAGCACAUGUAGGUGGUUAUGUAAGUCUUGUCUUAAAGCUCUGAGCUUAACUCAGAUUCUGGACGAGAUACUGUAUGACUUGUGGUCAGCAGGGGCAAAUGGAAUUCCCGGUGUAGGAGUGAAAUCCGUUGAUAUCGGGAGGAACACCAAUGGCGAAGGCAAUUUGCUAGGCUGAUUCAGACACUGAGAUGUGAAAGCGUGGGGAGCGAACGGG